GAUGAACGCUGGCGGCGUGCCUAAUACAUGCAAGUCGAGCGAACAGACGAGGAGCUUGCUCCUCUGACGUUAGCGGCGGACGGGUGAGUAACACGUGGAUAACCUACCUAUAAGACUGGGAUAACUUCGGGAAACCGGAGCUAAUACCGGAUAAUAUAUUGAACCGCAUGGUUCAAUAGUGAAAGACGGUUUUGCUGUCACUUAUAGAUGGAUCCGCGCCGCAUUAGCUAGUUGGUAAGGUAACGGCUUACCAAGGCAACGAUGCGUAGCCGACCUGAGAGGGUGAUCGGCCACACUGGAACUGAGACACGGUCCAGACCCCUACGGGAGGCAGCAGUAGGGAAUCUUCGGCAAUGGGCGAAAGCCUGACGGAGCAACGCCGCGUGAGUGAUGAAGGUCUUCGGAUCGUAAAACUCUGUUAUUAGGGAAGAACAAAUGUGUAAGUAACUAUGCACGUCUUGACGGUACCUAAUCAGAAAGCCACGGCUAACUACGUG
rnacentral:rRNA from 1 species